GAUGAACGCUAGCUACAGGCUUAACACAUGCCAGUCGAGGGGAAACGGCAUUGAGUGCUUGCACUCUUUGGACGUCGACCGGCGCACGGGUGAGUAACGCGUAUCCAACCUUCCCAUUACUGUGGGAUAACCUGCCGAAAGGCAGACUAAUACCGCAUAGUCUUCGAUGACGGCAUCAGAUUUGAAGUAAAGAUUUAUCGGUAAUGGAUGGGGAUGCGUCUGAUUAGCUUGUUGGCGGGGUAACGGCCCACCAAGGCUACGAUCAGUAGGGGUUCUGAGAGGAAGGUCCCCCACAUUGGAACUGAGACACGGUCCAAACUCCUACGGGAGGCAGCAGUGAGGAAUAUUGGUCAAUGGACGGAAGUCUGAACCAGCCAAGUAGCGUGCAGGAUGACGGCCCUAUGGGUUGUAAACUGCUUUUGUAUGGGGAUAAAGUUAGGGACGUGUCCCUAUUUGCAGGUACCAUACGAAUAAGGACCGGCUAAUUCCGUG
rnacentral:rRNA from 1 species